CUCUCAAUGCUGGUGUCCAGUAGCUGUCUGCAGCGUCGAGCCAGUUCACACUUAAAAUGAACUAGUUCAAGUUCACAGUUUUGGAUUUCAGGCUUGCAAACAUUAAAACGUGAGAUGAUGUUGGAGCAGAUAAACACGGAGGAAGGAAAGAAACCUGACGCAGCAGAGAACGAGUGAAGGAAUCCGGUGAAUCAAGAAGUUCUGCGGCUAAAAGAACAAAUCACAGCAACAGCUUCUACUGGAGAAGAUGAGCCGAUGGAGAAGGAGGAGGGUUUAAAUACUGCAGCAGCUGAUGAGACGAUGAGAAGCAGGGGUGGAACCUGCAGGACACCUGAAGUGUGAAGGGGGCAGGGCAGUGAAGAGGACUUAAAGACUUAUCUGAAGAACAAUAAACAAACAAUCUUCUGAGAAUGCAGAGGACGAUCACAAACCUAAACAACAAACACCACAAUGUUAAUUAAAGUUUAUGCCAAAUGGAAA